GAAUCCUGGUGAAGAAGUUGGCCUUAGCCAGAAUGGAGAUACCUGAUCAUCAGAGGCUGGAGGAAAGCAGGUUCCUCAAAAAACAAACAACAACAAAAAAACAACAAAACAUGAAGAAGCCAAAUCUGGAGGAUGAGUUUUCCAAAUUAAACACUGAAUAUUGUUGUAGAGUAAAAUGAUACUGUUUGUAAAGAGAUGUUUUUACUAGACAUCCUCUUCCUAGCCACCUAUUAAGGAAUAACUAGAAUAUAUAUUAACAGCAAGACAUCGGAAAUUAUCUUUGCACCUGACAAAAUGUUAAGAUUCAGAAUUUGGCUGGAUGCUCCUAAAGAGCUACUGAAAUAGACUCAAUGGCAGCUACGAUGCCCAACAGAAGCAGCGAUGCCUGGUGCACAUAGCAGGUUGCUAGCAGGAGUCAUCUGGGGUGAUUCACCUGUCUUGUUGGUGAGGAUAUGGACAUCAUCUGGGGACUCUCAGAAAUCCCUGAAGUGAUAUAGAGUCCCACAUGAGCUUGCCUGUGGUGUUUUACAAACCAAUAACGUAGUGUUCAUAAACCAAAGUCACUUGGAGGCAUCACCUGAAGAUAAGGCCCCUGUCUCCUAGUCUCUGUGGGAAGGCGAGAACCUAGCUUGGAUAAGCGCCAGUCAAAAAACCCACAUGGUUUCCCAUGGACCAACUCCACUUUACCACUUUUGGGAAUUUUUCACUUUCCUAACUGAGCCCCUACUUUCCCCUCUCCCUAAUUCCUUCUUUUAUCCUUAAAAUGCCCAGUCACUUCUGUACAACUCGAAGUUGAAUUUUGUUCACACUGGACUCUUUUCCCUAUUGAAAUAGUUAUCACUGAUUAAAAUCUGUCCUUACCACUUUAA
rnacentral:lncRNA from 1 species